UCGAUGAUCUCUCACACUUGUUUCUCUUGCCAAAGUAAUCUCAAAUUUCUUUGACCCCUACAUAUUAUAAGGGUUUUACAAAAGCUUUUCCGAGUUGACACUUUGACCCCUUAAAUUUUUGAACUGUGCAAGUGCCACCGCAGCCGUGGCACCGACCUCGGCUCCGAUCGCAGACGAGUAUGUCUCAAACUACGGCGCCGAAUGCGGUGCUGACCGCGAGAACCAUAGAAGAGUAUUUUUUCUCCGCGUUACUUCUCACAUUUUCUCUUUCGCAUUUGGGUGCUUCUUGAGUGGGUGAUUUCUUCACGUCAUUGCCUCUGAACACUUCAUUUUUCUUCCUCACAUCUUGUAUUCCCUACAACACCAAAUCGCAUCAAUUAAAGCAUUUUAUUAGCAAUUCACAUUACAAAACAACAACAAAGCAUGGGCAAUUAUGUCGUAAAUUAUAACUAUAUAGCCUAUUAUCAGUUGUAUUAACAAAAUUUUAUAUCUUUCAAAUUGAAUCAGUUGCUUGUGGCUCGUCAUAUAAAAUUAUUUCUUUUGACCUCGAAAACUAUUUUUGGGAUUAAACAGUUUGGUUCCACUGCUGAGGACUCAAGAAAAUUUGCUAUUCAUCCAAAGAUAGUAAAAUUUUUUGUUAAUAUUCACUUGUUUUCAAUUUAAUCCUUCACCAUUGCCAAAAUUUACCAAUCAAUACAGUUGAUGACGACCAAGUUGGAGAUGGCUUUACCAUGCAAAAUAAAAAGGGAAGAAUAACCAUAAUAAUGAUAUGUAAGCAACAUGCAGAGAAAAAAAGAUAAUGUAUAUCGAUAUAUUGGUACCGAAACUAUAAAUAUUAGAACUGAUUAUAACGGAUCUAUACGAAAUAGUUCCGAAACUGGAGGUUGAGAUACACAGGAACAGGUCAAGGAACAAAACGAGCGGAUAGAACACCUCCGAGAAUUCCUAUCUAUCCUUCAAGAAUGAUAUGCAUAACCAUUGUAGCACUUGAAUUUAAAUACAAGAAUACAUGGUCCGAAGAUCAAGUGGAUGUGAUUCUUGGGUGAUUAGAAUCUAAACGCAAAAAUCUAAAAAAUAGGUCCGAGCAAAGAGAUACGAGAUGUUUUUCACGCUCUUGAAAAGAUCUGAAUCUACCCGAAUAGGUAAGAAAUUACCUUGCUAAAUUGUAAAAUUUCAUAGGAGAAGAAUGAAGAUUAGGAAGAACAUGGGUAAAAUAACCACAGGAUUGUUUACAAAGAUACCACAUCUAACUACUAAAAAAGAAGAGAUAGUUGCGGGAUGAAAUAGCCCAAGAGGAAAGAAGGUUCAU
rnacentral:lncRNA from 1 species